AACAGAUAACCAUCCAUAAAAAAAAAGCUUAGUUAGCAUAUUUCUGCAAUUAUUCGAAGACAGUGCAUAUCUUUUUGUAUGAGUUAGAUGAACCCAGCUGGUUUCGUUUAUGUACUGUCUUAUUUUCAGAUAUACAGGGAACAUCUUUUCUCAGAAAAAUGGACAUAUGUAAAGUAGUUUUUGUGAUAUGUUUCGCGACCAGUAUACAUUGUAUUCCGUUAUUUCCGUACGAUUUGGUCGAUUUGACCAGAAAUCUGGGACCAGAUUCAAUAUACUAUCCAACAUUAGCAGGAUAUGAAAAAAUUAUUGAACUUCAAGGAAGUAAACAAUUCGGCCAUUGGGUAUUUUCUAACGUACUUAGGAUGACAGAACACGUCGGUACCCAUAUGGAUGCCCCGAGUCAUUUUAACAAAGUCGGAUGGAAUAUGCAUCAAAUACCAAUUAAUAAAAUGGUAGGUCCAGGGGUCAUUGUCAAUGUCAAGGAAAAAGCGCAAAAUAAUCCGGACUAUCGGGUAUCAAUAAAUGAUAUGAAAGAAUGGGAAGAAAAAUAUGGAAAAAUGCCUGACGGGGCAAUGGUAAUAAUGAAUUCGGGAUGGGAUGCAAAAUACCCUAACAAAAACAGUGUUUUUGGCACGAAGAAUAUAUCAGAUCUUAGGUCUUUUCAUUACCCAGGUUGGCACGAGGAUACAAUAUCUUGGAUUAUAGCUAAUAGACACAUGCUUUUCAUCGGAACAGAUACGCCGUCAUUUGAUUAUGGACAGUCCUCAACAUUUCCAGUACAUAUUUCAACUUCACGAGAAAAUAUAUGUGGUUUGGAGAACGUUGCCAAUUUGGAUAGAAUUCCAUCUAGCGGAUCAAUUAUCUCAGCUGCAGGAAUGAAAUCGGUGGAAGGAAGUGGAGGGCCUCUCAGACUUUAUGCUAUGGUUCCAAGUUCUGGUGUUAACAAUAGUUCAGUUCCAAACGGAACAUCUCAUUUGUUUCUUAUUGUUAUUUGUCUGACUCUAUUUAUCAACUCCAACACUUAAUUUAUUUUUAAAUGUCUGUAUCUGUGCUCAAAAAACGACAAGCAUAUCGUUUUUAAUAGGUAAAAAGCAAAGAAAGAAAUAUUUCAAUAUACUUCAACUUUUGAAGGAUUUUUAGACUUUAUUUUAUACUAUAUUUGAAACAGUACGGAAUCAGUAUAGUAGAAUAGAAUCUGGGAUGUUCGAAUAAAGAUUUAGGAGAAUAAAAUAACAAUGU